rnacentral:lncRNA from 1 species
GCAGCCUCACUACGAGCAGUUGUAGCACUGCAGAUCAAAAGAUCAGUCAUACAACUGCAGCAUCGAGAAAGUUACUAACGAGUAAGCAGACAUCCAUGUGACUUCUCGUGUUGGUCACGUUCAGUGCUAGUUGUUCUCUAACAAUCACCUACACUCUUGCUCUAGUAUCACUACACUGCAGACUUGAGAUCCAUCUGUCCGAAGGAAGCGAUUUAUACACAGAUCUAUCCGGAUCAAUCACCAUCUCCAUGAUGAUCCUAUGACUAGGAGAAAUUUAAAAAUUAACCAUCAAUGACAUAUAUCUCAAAUUUUCAACUCUUUGAGAAUAUGUGUCAUCAUCUUAUUAAUCUCUUGAUGAUUCAUGGAUACAUAAAAUAUGAAUGUUAAUAUAAAUGCCCAUAAAGUAAAAAAUCAUAUCCUAGAGAUAUGAUAUGC